CACUAGAAGAGAAAGACUUUUAGCAAUACCUGCCCAGUGCGAAAUAUUACUGUAAACGGCCGCCCUAGCGUGAGGGUGCUAAGGUAGCGAAAUUCCUUGCCUUUUGAUUGUAGGCCUGCAUGAAUGGUUUAACGAGGGUUUAACUGUCUCUUGAUUUAAAAUUGAAAUUGUACUGAAGGUGAAGAUACCUUCAUUAAAAAGUCAGACAAAAAGACCCCGUGCAACUUUGAAAAUUAGCUUUAUUCAGAAGUGAAAGAUUUUUAGGUGGGGCGCCUAGAAAGUAAAUCUAACCUUUCUGAACAUUUAGUUCUUUCCGGACUUGACCCGAUUAUAUUCGAUCAUAGGAGAAGUUACGCCGGGGAUAACAGGCUAAUCCUUUAGUAGAGCUCGUAUUGGCUAAAGGGAUUGGCACCUCGAUGUUGAAUCAGGGAUGAUAGCUUCAAGGCGUAGAGGCUUUGAGAGUAGGUCUGUUCGACCUUUAAUACCCU
rnacentral:rRNA from 1 species